CCGAGCUGAAUUCGCACGCUGUCUGGAGCCACUGCUGCUGCUGGGGCCACGUCGGGUGGCAGCUGCUGCAAGUGGUGCUAACAUGCUGGCAGGGGGCUUAGGCCCCAAGGCGCUGACGGGGCCCCACUGCCCCUCCCCAGUAGGAAAGAUGUCGGGGUCACCCGUCCAAAAGCCCACGCUGCGCCGGUCCAUCAGCACCAAGGUGCUGCUGGCGGAGGGCGAGAACACGCCCUUCACAGAGCACUGCCGCCACUAUGAGGACUCCUACCGGCACCUGCAGGCGGAGAUGCAGAGCCUAAAGGACCAGGUGCAGGAGCUGCACCGAGACCUCACCAAGCACCACUCGCUCAUCAAGGCGGGGAUCAUGGGAGACGUCCUGCGCAAGUCCCUGCACCUGGACGCGCAGAUCGCCUCGGAGCACGCCUCCUUAGAGGGCAUGAGGGUCGUCUUCCAGGAGAUUUGGGAGGAAUCCUAUCAGCGAGUGGCUAAUGAGCAGGAAAUUUAUGAAGGUUCCAGACAGUUGGCUGCUGAGUGAACCCCCGUCCCUGAGCUAACCCACAUGCUAGCAGAGGAGGAAGUCAAGAGUCAGCCACUAACCAGAUGCAAAUCCCC
rnacentral:sRNA from 1 species